rnacentral:sRNA from 1 species
AUGGAAUCUGAGAAAAUUUAUAUGACAGUGAACCCACACGUCUGUAUUGAAUGUGGGAAAGGCUACACUUGUAUUGCAUCCCUGACCCAGCAUCAGAAAACACAUAUCAGAGAGAAACCUUAUGAAUGUAAAAUAUGUGGUAAGCCCUUUACCCGGAACACUAAUCUUAUUCAACAUCAAGGAAUACACACUGGAGAGAAACCUUAUGAAUGUAAUGAAUGUGGGAAAGCUUUUAGUCAGAGCACUAAUCUUAUUCAGCAUCAAAGAGUCCAUACUGGGGAGAAACCUUAUGAGUGUAAUGAAUGUGAAAAAACCUUUAGUCAUAGGUCGUCCCUUAGAAAUCAUGAGAGAAUCCAUACUGGAGAAAAACCCUAUCCUUGUAAUGAAUGUGGGAAAGCUUUCAGCCAUAUCUCUGCCCUUACUCAACAUCAUAGAAUUCAUACUGGAAAGAAACCAUAUGAAUGUACUGAAUGUGGAAAAACCUUCAGCCGCAGCACACACCUAAUUGAACAUCAGGGAAUUCAUUCUGAGGAAAAAUCCUACCAGUGUAAGGAAUGUCGGAAAGUUUUUUGCCACAGUACAUCACUAAUCCGACAUCAGAGAACCCACACAGGAGAGAAACCAUAUGAAUGUAAUGAAUGUGGGAAAGCUUUCAGCCAUACCCCAGCCUUCAUUCAACAUCAAAGAAUUCAUACUGGAGAAAAACCCUAUGAGUGUAAUGCAUGUGGAAAGGCCUUCAAUCGGAGUGCACAUCUUACUGAACACCAGAGAACUCAUACUGGAGAGAAGCCCUAUGUUUGUAAAGAAUGUGGAAAAACCUUCAGUCGAAGUACACACCUUACUGAACAUCUAAAAAUUCACUCUGGUGUGAAACCCUAUCGAUGUAAUGAAUGUCAGAAACUGUUUUGCUAUAGAACCUCACUAAUUCGACAUCAGAGGACGCAUACAGGAGAGAAACCCUACCAGUGUAAUGAAUGUGGGAAAUCCUUCAGCUUAAGCUCAGCUCUGACUAAACAUAAGCGAAUACAUACAAGGUAGAGACUCUAUCAAUGUAAUAAGUGUGGUAAUGUCUUUUGUCAUAGUACAUCCUUAAUUCGACAUCGGAAAACUCAUUUCAGAAAGGAAACCUUAGCAGAGUAA